GUGGUCUGCGUUGGAAUGGACUUUGGACCCCGGCCUCUUGGGAUGCAAAGGCAGGUGACUUGGAGUUUCCACGCUGGAAGAUAUACUCCUCGAGAUCAGCACUGAGUCGUGCUCAACACUCUACGGGCCCAGGAGAGGAUGAAGUAACGCCUCUGCUGCAAGAGAGGAGCCUCUAGGACCCGCUACGAGGUAAGGCCUGAGCCCACUCCCUGAUCCUGGUGUUCACGCCCCCACUGA
rnacentral:lncRNA from 1 species